AUGCUUCGAUUUUUUGUCCAUCAAGGUGUAUUUUUUUUACAAGUUGUGCAUCCUUGGUACUGGUUAGAAGCAGGUAUCAAGAAGCUAGCUGACUCUCUUGCAUCUCCUAUUGUUUCUGUGCAACCAAUGCCACCUACAGAUCCAUAUGCAAACCUUUGGAAGCGGAUAAAUGCCCUUACCAUACCAGCUAAGGAUAAACUUGAGAUUGUAGCAUAUCUAUCCAAGCCAGAUCAAGAUAUCUUUCGUAGUUACCUCAACUAUGCUGAUGAAACAAUUCUUGGACAGUGGGUCCUUAGCUUCUUCGAGCCUCGGUUUCAAGAAGAUGGUGGCAAUGGUGGAUCUGCAACUGCUCACUGA
rnacentral:rRNA from 1 species